GUUCAGAGCAUCUAGCAUUGCCGAAGUCAUAUCGGUUAACACACUAACACUGAUCACCACCCUCACACAGGAAAAUGCCUCUGCGAUAUUUGAUAGUCCAGUCAAGAAACCAAUAUGUUCCGUCCUCCUCUAUUUUGCAAUAACUCGCUCGGUUUUCCCGAUCCUUCGUGUCCUUUUCCUAUCAAGGCUGGUAGUUAUUCCUCUUCUUGAUUGUUUUGUGUGUCGUCACAGGUGUCGUGGCUGGAGGCCACAUGGACCCCACCUCCGCCGCAGGGGCGACGUGUAUUUCCUCUUGCUUCACCGCCUUAUAGCCAAGCAGACCAGGAGUGACCUCCUCUCCUACUACACCAGCAGCCUUCACUGGCUCUGGAGACAUGCUGGCCAUUGACGCUCCGACGCCGAUGAGUAAUCAGUUCCAUCAUUGACAUAUAACCUGACAAGUUGUUGGGCGGGAUGGGUUCCGUUGGCGUUGUGGUCCAGACACAAUAAUUCUUUGAAGCAGCGCCGUAGUGGAAUGAUGUAAAAAAAGUGUGAUGUGCCACAAUUUGGAUGUAAUGAUUUCUAGCUGCUAUGAGGAACGAAGCUUAAUCGGUGACUGCACUCUUUUUAACCAAGCUUCAGUCUAAGGUAAAUGAUACCACAUAUUAUGCCUCCUCUUUUUAAUCUUCUAUUUCUCAUGCUGAAGUGUUGCUAUUAAUACUUGUAUGUUAAUUUAGCUAUUGGAAUCCUUCAUCAUCUUCCUGUUUGGUUUAGUAAUUAUUUGGGAGAUAAUCACUUUGGGGUUUCAGGCACCUUGGUAUGCACAUGGCAAUGCAGAGCCCAAGAAUAUGAUUCUGGACAGUAACCUGUAGUUUCAUCAACCAUACUUCUGGUCAUACUACUGUACCUACAAUCACUCUCAUUCAAUUUUUUUUAGAGGAACUGCAUUUCACCGAUCUGGACAUUCAGUUAAGGAAUUUGAAAGGUUCAGGUCAUACAUGAUUGAUAUGUGCAUUUAAUUGCAAGGU